AUGGUGGAGAAGCUGCUGCGGCCGCUGCGCGCGCUGUCCACAACCAACAUGCUGGCCGAGUACUACCGGCUCCAGCGCCGCCUGCUGGGGAGCCCCCGCGAAUACCAUGCUGUGGUGGCCGGGGCCAGGUACAUGGUGACCUUCGAUGGCCAGGUGUGGAGCCUUGGUGUCCACUGCAGCAGUCUGCUGCUGGCCAAGGACUUUGCCCACGACACGUUCUCGCUGAUGCUGAACCAGGCCCCCUCGGGGCUCCUGUCGCUGUCCGUGGAGCUGAACGGCACUACCCUGGUCCUCUACCCGAGCCUGAAGACCUACAGGCUGUAUGACUCCCCCCUGCCUACGGAGACCUGUCCACACAUUGAUCCGCCUCCUGCCACGACGAGGAGGGAUGUCCCCAGGAUUGAGCUGACCAGUGAGGAUGGCGUCUCAGUCUCCUGUGAUGUGCGAGCUGGCCUCUGCAGGCUCACGCUAGGCCUCUGGCUCCACGGGGUGUCUGCUGGCCUUCUGGGCACCAAUGACAACGAGGCAGCCACUGAGCUGAUGCUGCCGGAUGGCACAGUGGCCCACAGCCUGGAGGAGCUCGCCCUCGCCUGGCAGGUGGGUGGCAACUGCACGGCCAUGGAGAAAACUCAGGAGUGCCCAGGCCAGAGCCCCACCUGCUGGGCCUUCUUCCAGGACCCCCGUUCCUGCCUGGGGAGCUGCUUCAGGGUGGUGGAUCCCACGCCAUUCCUCCGCCUCUGCAUCCAGGACGCCUGCGGCCCCCGCGAGCUGCUCCCGGCCUGCACCCUGGCAGCCACCUACAUCCACCUGUGUGCACGGGCCUUCGUGCCCCUGGACCCUCCUCCACAGUGCGUUUGA
rnacentral:lncRNA from 1 species